ACCCAAUGAUGAAUUGCUUUCUGACACCUCGUAUGAAAACUGCAUAUGCAGUUUGAUUACUUGGCAAGACUGAGGCUU